rnacentral:rRNA from 1 species
AGCUCCAAUAGCGUAUAUUAAAGUUGCUGCAGUUAAAAAGCUCGUAGUUGGAUCUCGGGGUACCUGGUCUAGCCGGUAUAGCUCACGCUAAAACUGGUCUGACCCCCCAACGUGAGGUAUUCGUCUCCGGGUGCACUUCAUUGGGUGCUCGUGAGGGGCCUCGUAGUUACUGUGAAAAAAUUAGAGUGUUCAAAGCAGGCUCAUAUGUUCGGAUAGUCGUGCAUGGAAUAACUGAAGACGUGACUGGCGCUUUGCAGGUGGUCGCGGCGACUGGUCAAAUGAGGAAGAGGGACUGCCGGGGGCAUGGGGAUGGCGGGGUGAGAGGUGAAAUGCGUGGAUCCUCGCCAGACCAACAAAAGCGAAAGCAGGUGCAAAGAAUGGCUUCA